GGUCAAGUUACAAAGGGUUUACGAUGGCUGACUUGGCAGACUCAGGCGAUGAAGGACGCGAUAAGCUGCGAUAAGCUUCGGGGAGCUGCAAUGAAGCUUUGAUCCGGAGAUUUCCGAAUGGGGCAACCCAACCAGGCUAAUACCUGGUUAUUCUGGACUGAAUACAUAGGUUCAGAAUGCUAACGUGGCGAAUUGAAACAUCUUAGUAGCCACAGGAAAAGAAAACGAAUGUGAUUCCCUUAGUAGCGGCGAGCGAAACGGGAAGAGGCUAAACUCUAAUGCUUGCAUUAGNNNNNNNNNNNNNNNNNNNNNNNNNNUUGCGAGAGAAUAGCAAAAGCGUCUGGAAAGGCGCACCACAGCAGGUGAAAGUCCUUUUUGCGAAAUUCUUAAGCACCUUAGAGGUAUCCCAAGUAAUGCGGGGCACGAGAAAUCCCGUAUGAAUCUGUGCCGACCAUGGCAUAAGCCUAAAUACUCGAGUCUGACCGAAAGCGUACAAGUACCGUGAGGGAAAGUUGAAAAGAACCCCGGGAGGGGAGUGAAAUAGAACCUAAAAUCGUAAACUUACAAAGCGGUCGAAGGCCUAUGCAUAUCGCAAGAUAUGAACGGCUGACGGCGUACCUUUUGCAUAAUGGACCAACUAGUUGCUAGCUGUUGCAAGCUUAAGCCCCUCUGGGGCGGAGGCGUAGGGAAACCGAGUGUGAACAGCGCGAUUCAGUAACAGUUAGCAGACGCGAAACCACGUGAUCUAUCCAUGGCCAGAA
rnacentral:rRNA from 1 species